CUUAUUCCAAGCAGCCUGAGCUGAUUAAUUUCAUCUGUAGUUUUACACCUUUAACCUGAAGGUCCUGCUUCUGUUGGAGACUGAUUGUUCCUAAAGCAGAUAAAGAGAAUAUUGCCAAUGAUCCUUAGUUCUUUUUUUAUAUAUUUUACCAACAUCUGUGAAUGUAACUCGGACAAAGACAUCUGCUUUUCUAAAAUCAGGAAGGUGAGCAGAACCACAAAUCUUACUCAGAAAACCGUUUGAGAAAUUAAAGUUGAACUGAAGCACAUCUGUAACCAUCAUAUUCAAAACAGCAUUUUUUUUUAUACAAACAAUACUCCUGGAUUUAAUGUCAGUGGGUUUUCUUCUUUUUGUCUCAGACAUGUCUGCAGACCGUCAAGCUAAUUCAACAAAGAACGCAAUAAAGUGAAACUGCCAUAUUAUUGUCUUAGAGACAAAAUUCAGUGUAAGAAAACUGUUUAUAACCUCUGUUGCAUGAAAAAAUAAUCGGCACCCUACUGCAAGUUUGAUGACUAAUUAAAAGCAACAGGCAGUAUAUCCUUCCCCCCCAUUAAUUGUGAACAUGGCACUUUUAUUGUUUAACAUCUCUGUUAAACAAUGUGGUUUCAUUUAUAAAUAAAAUUUAAUUUCUUUUCAGAAAAGCACCCAUUAAUAAAGUGUAGCAGAUUAAACCUUUGGCUUGCGUUAUUAACUUUUGGUAGGUGUGUUACAAAUAUAUGUUAUUAUGCUUUUACUUUGCAGCUUUUAUUUUGCAGCCUGCACCUAGGUUUUUAUUGUCUAUUGCGUUUUAAUAAGAAGUUGCAAAUUCACUACGCAUAUCCUGCUACUCGCAUAAAAAUGCCUAAAAAGCAAAAUCUUUUCUCAUUAGGAAGAAGUAGUAAAGGUGGGAGAUUUUCAUAAGAAAUUAUUAUAAACACCAACUACCAAUCUUAUAUGUCCUUUUAAGUUACUUAACGACUGGAUAAAUAAUGACAUGACUUUGAGGGAAAACUGUUUCACUUUUUGCAACCAGGUGGAUCCAUGUGUACUUUAAAACUUGAGUAUCAUUUGGGUAUCUUUUCUUUUCUUUUCUUUUUCAUUUUGAGUCUGUGAUUCUGCAUCUGUCCAGCAGGUGUCCUCGCACAGCCCUGACACAGACCUGGUUUCUCACCUGCUGCUUGUGUCUCCACUUUAAAUCCAUUCAGCUGGUUGUCAAUUUUUUCUCUCUUCCUGUCGGCUUGCCUGAACAAUCCUUGCUCACUGAACUUUCCUGAUUGAUCCAGAGCAAAGCUGCUGUUAUACACAGUCAGGGAAGCCUCUAAUGAUGAUUUUUGACAUCUUAUUUUGUUUGCCUUAAAACCUAAGAUAUGUUUAGUUUAUAAUACAAGAAAAACAUCGGACUCAACACUCGGCUCAUUGCAUUGUUUUGCAAAGAAAAAAAGAGUUGCACACCAUCAGAUGAAGGUGAACACAUGAUUUUUCAAUGAAACGCUGCAAUAUUGUCUUUGCAGAAUAUUGCAUUGCUGUGGUGGAAGUGAAGCCUGUCACGGCUGUAAAAACCCGACGCCCUGCAGGCUGAAUUCUUGCAGGGAAAGA